GCCAGCGUGGCAUAAGGUUUGAGUGUUGGACUAUGAGUCUGGAGACCAGGGUUCAAUUCCCUGCUCGGUCA